GACGUUCUCCCCUGGUGAAUGACUUGUUUUUGUGUAUUUUCUUUGUCUCUCGUAAUGCAUCUGCACUGACCUGCAGAUUUUAUUUUGUCCUUUUUGCAGACUGGAAGUGUCUCCAGAGGCGCAACCCACAGCCAGGCUUCCUUCCCCCACUGACUCCCCUUCCUCUCUUCCUCCUCUUCCUUCUAGCUCUGGCCAGGCACCUGUCCCCUCUGAAUUGGGACAUGGUGCAGACACACAGUCCUCUGAGAGUCCUUCUGUCUUCUCCCCUCUCUCAUCUCCCAUAGCAGCUCCCAUUUCCACAUCCACUCCAAUUGAAAGCUGGCCUCUCGUAGACAGGGGCCAGGCCAAGUCUGAAGAACCACCCUUGCUCCCUAAGGCAGAGUUGCAAACUGAGAGUUUAACACCGGUUCCAAAUUCUGGUUCUUCUGCCCUGGGAUCACUUUUCAAACAGCCAUCCUUUCCAGCAAAUAAAGGGACAGAAGAUUCUCUGAUGGGCAGGACCCGUGAGACAGGCACAGAGAAGAACACCAGCAGCCUUGAGUUGGAGGAGUCUCUCCCAGAGCAGCCUGAAACAGGGCGACAAGAGGAAGAACUUCCGAGAUUCCCCUGCAAAAAACAAGACUACAGCCCAUCAUCUGGAGAAGCCCAGGAAGUACCGUUUGCCCUUUCACUCAGCAGUGAUGGAGCUGUGAGCCCUGUUGGGGAGCUUGCAGCAGGAGGAGACAGAGACUUGGAGAGUCAGGCUGGGUCUCUUGUGGAGAGCAAAGCCAGGGAUGCAGUUGAAGAAGUGGCGCCCCCUCUUCCCAUGGGAGCAUCGGUCCCUUCCAUUGAUUCCAUGAUGCAGAAGCUGGAAGAGAUGGGUCUGAACCUCCGCAAGGACCAGAAGAAAACCAAGAAGCGUGUGUCAUUUUCUGAGCAGCUCUUCACGGAAGAGGCAGUGGCGGGGGCUGCCUUGCUGGUGGAAGGACACAGCAGUUGUCCCCAGGAGCUGAACCCUGCAUGGUCUGUUGCUGGAAACGCGUCUGACGGAGAGCCUCCUGAGUCUCCCCACGCAGAGGACUCAGAAAGGGAAUCGGUGACCACACCUGGGCCAGCGACGUGCGGUGCGCCAGCCUCCCCAGCGGAUCACCUCCUCCUCCCCUCCCAGGAGGAGAGUUUCUCCGAAGUCCCCAUAAGUGAAGCAAGCUCAGCGAAAGACACUCCACUCUUUAGGAUGGAGGGAGAGGAUGCCCUUGUGACUCAGUAUCAGAGCAAAGCCAGUGACCACGAAGGUUUAUUGUCUGACCCCUUGAGUGACCUUCAGUUGGUCUCAGAUUUUAAAUCUCCAAUCAUGGCCGAUCUGAACUUAAGCCUUCCUUCCAUUCCUGAAGUCGCAUCGGAUGAUGAAAGAAUAGAUCAGGUUGAAGAUGACGGAGAUCAGGUUGAAGAUGAUAGAGAGACAGCAAAGUCGUCAACUCUGGACAUAGGAGCUUUGUCCUUGGGCUUGGUAGUCCCCUGUCCUGAGAGGGGAAAGGGGCCCAGUGGCGAGGCAGAUAGGUUGGUACUGGGGGAGGGCCUGUGUGAUUUCAGGCUGCAAGCACCCCAGGCAUCUGUGACAGCUCCUUCAGAGCAGACCACAGAGUUCGGAAUUCACAAACCACAUCUUGGCAAGAGCUCAAGCUUGGAUAAACAGCUGCCAGGCCCCAGUGGUGGCGAGGAAGAAAAACCGAUGGGAAAUGGGAGUCCAAGCCCGCCUCCUGGCACAUCCCUGGACAAUCCUGUACCCAGCCCCUCCCCUUCUGAGAUCUUUCCUGUCACACACUCUUUCCCCAGCUCUGCACAUUCUGACACUCACCACACCAGCACAGCAGAAUCUCAAAAAAAAGCCACAGCAGAGGGCUCCGCUGGUAGAGUUGAAAAUUUUGGCAAGAGGAAGCCACUCCUCCAGGCCUGGGUCUCACCCUCGGAGACACAUCCAGUCUCAGCUCAGCCAGGCGCUGGAACUGGGUCAGCCAAGCACAGACUUCAUCCUGUGAAGCCAAUGAAUGCAACGGCCACCAAGGUUGCUAACUGCAGCUUGGGAACUGCCACCAUCAUCAGUGAGAACUUGAACAAUGAGGCCAUGAUGAAGAAAUACAGCCCCUCGGACCCUGCAUUUGCAUAUGCGCAGCUGACCCACGAUGAGCUGAUCCAGCUGGUCCUCAAACAGAAGGAAACGAUAAGCAAGAAGGAGUUCCAGGUCCGCGAGCUGGAAGACUACAUUGACAACCUGCUUGUCAGAGUCAUGGAAGAAACCCCCAAUAUCCUCCGCAUCCCGACUCAGGUUGGCAAAAAAGCAGGAAAGAUGUAA
rnacentral:sRNA from 1 species